GAGUUUGAUCCUGGCUCAGAUUGAACGCUGGCGGCAUGCCUUACACAUGCAAGUCGAACGGCAGCAUGAUCUAGCUUGCUAGAUUGAUGGCGAGUGGCGAACGGGUGAGUAAUACAUCGGAACGUGCCCUGUAGUGGGGGAUAACUAGUCGAAAGAUUAGCUAAUACCGCAUACGACCUGAGGGUGAAAGUGGGGGACCGCAAGGCCUCAUGCUAUAGGAGCGGCCGAUGUCUGAUUAGCUAGUUGGUGGGGUAAAGGCCCACCAAGGCGACGAUCAGUAGCUGGUCUGAGAGGACGAUCAGCCACACUGGGACUGAGACACGGCCCAGACUCCUACGGGAGGCGGCAGUGGGGAAUUUUGGACAAUGGGCGAAAGCCUGAUCCAGCAAUGCCGCGUGUGUGAAGAAGGCCUCGGUUGUAAGU
rnacentral:rRNA from 1 species